rnacentral:rRNA from 1 species
UACGUAGGGGGCUAGCGUUGUCCGGAAUUAUUGGGCGUAAAGAGCUCGUAGGCGGUUUGUCGCGUCUGCCGUGAAAGUCCGGGGCUCAACUCCGGAUCUGCGGUGGGUACGGGCAGACUAGAGUGAUGUAGGGGAGACUGGAAUUCCUGGUGUAGCGGUGAAAUGCGUAGAUAUCAGGAGGAACACCGGUGGCGAAGGCGGCUACCUGGACAGAAACUGACGCUGAGGCGCGAAAGCUAGGGGAGCAAACAGG